UCCCAGUUAGUACAACGGUGAGUAUACGGCACUUUCACUAUUCUGUCUCCAACAAGAUGUCAGGGCGUGAGCUGCUGAGAUCGGGGUUCGAUUCCCCGGCUGGGAA
rnacentral:tRNA from 1 species